UCUCAGUUCGGAUUGUAGUCUGCAACCCGACUACAUGAAGCUGGAAUCGCUAGUAAUCGCAGAUCAGAAUGCUGCGGUGAAUACGUUCCCGGGUCUUGUACACACCGCCCGUCACACCAUGGGAGUUGGAAAUGCCCGAAGCCAGUGACCCAACCGUAAGGAGGGAGCUGUCGAAGGUGGAGCCGAUGACUGGGGUGAAGUCGUAACAAGGUAUC
rnacentral:rRNA from 1 species